rnacentral:rRNA from 1 species
AAACAGGAUUAGAUACCCUGGUAGUCCACGCCCUAAACGAUGCACACUAGUUGUUGCGAUGCUAGUCAUUGCAGUAAUGCACUUAACAGAUUAAGUGUGCCGCCUGGGGAGUACGGUCGCAAGAUUAAAACUCAAAGGAAUAGACGGGGACCCGCACAAGCGGUGGAGCAUGUGGUUUAAUUCGAAGAUACACGAAGAACCUUACCUGGGCUUGAUAUCCUAAGAAUCCUGUAGAGAUAUGGGAGUGCUAGUUUACUAGAACUUAGAGACAGGUGCUGCACGGCUGUCGUCAGCUCGUGUCGUGAGAUGUUGGGUUAAGUCCCGCAACGAGCGCAACCCUCGUGAUUAGUUGCUAACAGUUCGGCUGAGCACUCUAAUCAGACUGCCUUCGCAAGGAGGAGGAAGGUGAGGACGACGUCAAGUCAUCAUGGCCCUUAUGCCCAGGGCUACACACGUGCUACAAUGGUUAGGACAAAGAGAAGCGAUACUGCGAAGUGGAGCAAAUCU